rnacentral:rRNA from 1 species
AUUGAACGCUGGCGGCAUGCCUUACACAUGCAAGUCGAACGGCAGCAUGAUCUAGCUUGCUAGAUUGAUGGCGAGUGGCGAACGGGUGAGUAAUACAUCGGAACGUGCCCUGUAGUGGGGGAUAACUAGUCGAAAGAUUAGCUAAUACCGCAUACGACCUGAGGGUGAAAGUGGGGGACCGCAAGGCCUCGUGCUAUAGGAGCGGCCGAUGUCUGAUUAGCUAGUUGGUGAGGUAAAGGCUCACCAAGGCGACGAUCAGUAGCUGGUCUGAGAGGACGAUCAGCCACACUGGGACUGAGACACGGCCCAGACUCCUACGGGAGGCAGCAGUGGGGAAUUUUGGACAAUGGGCGAAAGCCUGAUCCAGCAAUGCCGCGUGUGUGAAGAAGGCCUUCGGGUUGUAAAGCACUUUUGUCCGGAAAGAAAUGGCUCUGGUUAAUACCUGGGGUCGAUGACGGUACCGGAAGAAUAAGGACCGGCUAACUACGUG